UGGGGAAUAUUGGACAAUGGGGGGAACCCUGAUCCAGCCAUGCCGCGUGUGUGAAGAAGGCCUUAUGGUUGUAAAGCACUUUAAGCGAGGAGGAGGGUACUGGUAUUAAUACUACCAGGUACUGGACGUUACUCGCAGAAUAAGCACCGGCUAACUCUGUGCCAGCAGCCGCGGUAAUACAGAGGGUGCGAGCGUUAAUCGGAUUUACUGGGCGUAAAGCGUGCGUAGGCGGCUAAUUGAGUCGGAUGUGAAAUCCCCGAGCUUAACUUGGGAAUUACAGUCGAUACUGGUUAGCUAGAGUGUGGGAGAGGAUGGUAGAAUUCCAGGUGUAGCGGUGAAAUGCGUAGAGAUCUGGGGGAAUACCGAUGGCGAAGGCAGCCAUCUGGCCUAACACUGACGCUGAGGUACGAAAGCAUGGGGAGCAAACAGG
rnacentral:rRNA from 1 species